rnacentral:lncRNA from 1 species
CCAACGUGGCAGCAAGUCACUUUGGUGACAAUGACUCUUAAGUCAUGAAACAAGGUGGCAUAAUUAGGAGAAUUGGCCAAAACAAAAACUCAUUCUUAUCAAGUGGGGNNNNNNNNNNNCNNNNNAAGUAGGGCCCACACCUCUAUUUCUAAAGAAUAGAAGCAACCUUUCUCGCUGAAUCAUAUGUGUGAACAUUUGGAUACUCUGCUGACCCAUUAAAAGAAGAAUGUUGACUUGCCUCAGUUCUCUUGUUCUAUGACUGAUGACCGACUUAAUGUGAAGCCUAUACACUUCACAUUUAGAUGUAGGUAAGUUCUGGCAAUGCAAAACGUGGUGCUCAGUUAGGUUGCACCAAUAUCUGUUUCAAGUCUUGUAUACCUAUAAUGGUUUCUUUAGUUGGGAUAUGUUCAUGGUGUGGAAAGAGAUUAUAUGCAUGUGGAUAUAAAUGUUAAUUGUUCUUAUGUUAUAAUCAAACAGGUUAAUUUUUUAGCUGUUCUGAAGUAGCAAUUUGAGGUGUUAGACAUGUAAUCUUUUCCUACCAUGUUCGAUGUGUCUGCAUAGCUUUGUUCAAUGAUAGUGGGAAAGUUGUUUGGGUCGCCUUCCUUUGUCGUUGUUCUUGCCGUCACGUGUUUUAUCGCAAUUAUCGUGUGUUAGCGGGAUUGUCCAGAGAACCGGCUCAGGUAUGUUAAGGCUAUCCCUUCUUUCUUUUGACAUGAUCCAAGUAACGAUACGUAAACGUAAUGCUAUUGCAUAAAUGGUUCUACUCUUAGCAGUUAAGGAUGUAUAUGUUAUUCAUUCCCGUAAAAUGAUAUUCAAGCAUGUCUAAGUAUGUAUCUAGUUCCUUAUUGAUGUAUUUGAUAAAGAUGUUAAUGUUUAUAAUAUAGUAAUACAUGCAUCUUCAUGCAUAUUCAUUUACCAUCGUACUACGGCCGGUCGGGCAGUCAUGCAUUUACCACCGGACUACGGCCGAUCGGGCAGUUACCACCGGUUGGGCAGUUAUAUAUUAUUAUUUAUCACCGGUUGGGCAGUCAUGUAUAUUCAUUUACCACCGAGAUACGGCCGGUCGGGAAGUCAUGCAUUUACCACCGAGCUACGACCGGUUGGGUAGUUACAUAUUUACCACCGAGAUAUGGCCGGCCGGGCAGUCAUAUAUUUACCACUGAGCUACGGCCGGUCGGGCAGUCAUACAUUUAACAAUGUGCUACGGCCGGUCGGGCAGUUACCACUGAUCAGUUGGGCAGUCACGCAUCGUACGAUAUGGAUAAUAGUCUCAAAGAGAAGCAUUGUAUAUAUGUAAGUAUAAUAAGUAUGCAUAUACGGUGACACUUCAGAGAUUCAGGUUAAUUCUUAUAUGUCUUUAAUUAAUGUUGACUUACUGUUAUGUUUUAGUUCUGCCUUACAUACUCAGUACAUUAUUCGUACUGACGUCCUUUUGUUGGGAACGCUGCAUUCAUGCCUGCAGGUAUAGAUAAUCAGUUUGACAAGCCCUCAAAGUAGACGAGAUUGGCAUUCAGCGAAGGAUCGGUAAGAUUCCACCUCAUUCGGAGUGCAGCCGAGUCUAUGAGUCAUCGUGUCAAAAUUUUACCACAGACUUAUGGGUAGGCCGGUACCCUGUUCCAUUUGAUGUCAAAUAAUCUUAGAGGCUUUGUAGACAAAGGUUCAUUUUGUACAGUAUGUCAGAGGCCUUGACGGCCCAUAUGUAUUCAUGUUUUAAGAAAAAUGAGUUAGUGAUACAGUUUUUUCUCACUUACGCUUGUACAUUAUGAGUUGUGGCCAUAUUGGCC